CUUGUACACACCGCCCCGUCACACCAUGGGACGUGGGUUUCACCAGAAGUAGGUAGUCGUAACCGCAAGGGGGACGCUUACCACGGUGAGACUUCGAAUGACUGGGGUG
rnacentral:rRNA from 1 species